rnacentral:rRNA from 1 species
CGUUGUACACACCGCCCGUCACACCAUGGAGCGGUUCUGCCAGAAGUAGUUAGCCUAACCGCAAGGAGGGCGAUUACCACGGCAGGGUUCGUGACUGGGGUG